rnacentral:rRNA from 1 species
AGCUCACUGGUCGAGUGAUCCUGCGCCGAAGAUUUCCGGGGCUAAAACUUACUACCGAAGCUACGGCAUCAGUAAUGAUGGGUAGGGGAGCUUCCCAUACGGGUUGAAGCAUGACCGUAAGGACAUGUGGACAGUAUGGGAGUGAGAAUGUUGGCAUGAGUAGCGAGAUGUGGGUGAGAAUCCCACAGGCCGUAAACCCAAGGUUUCCAGGGGAAGGUUCGUCCGCCCUGGGUUAGUCGGGACCUAAGCUGAGGCCGAAAGGCGUAGGUGAUGGACAACAGGUUGAUAUUCCUGUACUACCGAUAACCGUUUGAGAGAAGGGAUGACACAGUAGGAUAAGCUAAGCACACUGUUGGUUAUGUGUGCCCAAGCAUUGAGGCAGUCAAAGUAGGCAAA